CAGAAGAUAAUUUAAUAAAAAUAUAAACUUUGGAUGUUUAAAAUGGUAAUUAUCUCUUCUGA
rnacentral:tRNA from 1 species